GAUGAACGCUGGCGGCGUGCUUAACACAUGCAAGUCGAACGAUGAAGCCCAGCUUGCUGGGUGGAUUAGUGGCGAACGGGUGUGUAACACGUGAGUAACCUGCCCUUAACUCUGGGAUAAGCCUGGGAAACUGGGUCUAAUACCGGAUAGGAGCGUCCACCGCAUGGUGGGUGUUGGAAAGAUUUAUCGGUUUUGGAUGGACUCGCGGCCUAUCAGCUUGUUGGUGAGGUAAUGGCUCACCAAGGCGACGACGGGUAGCCGGCCUGAGAGGGUGACCGGCCACACUGGGACUGAGACACGGCCCAGACUCCUACGGGAGGCAGCAGUGGGGAAUAUUGCACAAUGGGCGCAAGCCUGAUGCAGCGACGCCGCGUGAGGGAUGACGGCCUUCGGGUUGUAAACCUCUUUCAGUAGGGAAGAAGCGAAAGUGACGGUACCUGCAGAAGAAGCACCGGCUAACUACGUG
rnacentral:rRNA from 1 species